UACGUAGGUGGCAAGCGUUGUCCGGAUUUACUGGGCGUAAAGAGCGCGCAGGCGGUUGGAUCAGUCGAAUGUGAAAGCCCCCGGCUCAACUGGGGAGGGUCAUUCGAUACUGUUCGACUCGAAGGCAGGAGAGGGAAGCGGAAUUCCCGGUGUAGUGGUGAAAUGCGUAGAUAUCGGGAGGAACACCAGUGGCGAAGGCGGCUUUCUGGCCUGUUCUUGACGCUGAGGCGCGAAAGCCAGGGGAGCAAACGGG
rnacentral:rRNA from 1 species